GAAAAUUAGGUUAUAUGCAAAUGGUGGAUGCCUUGGGAUAUUGAAGCGACGAAGGACGUGGCGUGCCUGCGAUAAGCUUCGGGGAGGUGGCUAGCAACCUUUGAUCCGGAGACUUCCGAAUGGGGAAACCCGGUUUUGUUAAUACAAGAUCAACUUUAUCGUAAGAUAAAGUAGCGUACCCGCUGAAGUGAAACAUCUCAGUAGGUGGAGGAAAAGAAAACAAUGAAAAUUUUUAUUUUCUGUUGACUAGAAUUCUGAACAGAGAUUAGAAAUUUUUACAUUCCCUUAGUAGUGGCGAGCGAAAAGGGAGCAGCUCAAACCAGUAUUUUUUAAUAUUGGGGUUGUAAGAGUUUAACGUCGGGAGCACUUUCUUGGAGCACUUCAUUGUGCGACAGGAAAAUGUUUGCCGAGGGAGAGCAUUUAGGUAAAAGUUUUAGAAGAAGCACCCUGGAAAGGGGCACCAUAGAGGGUAAUAGUCCUGUAUUUAAAAAUUCUUUUACGCUCCUUGUUAUAUUUCUUGAGUACUGUCGGGAAUGAUAACCUGGCAGGAAACAGGCCGAACUAUCGGCCAAAGCUAAAUAUUCAAUAUCACCGAUAGUGAACCAGUACCGUGAGGGAAAGGUGAAAAGUAGGGGGAUGACCCCGGUGAAAUAGAACCUGAAACCAUUUGCUUACAAAGAGUCGGAGCCCCGACGCAAGUCGUGGGUGACGGCGUGCUUUUUGCAGAACGAGCCAACGAGUUUGAUUAUUCAGCUUGUCUAAGCCCUUUUGGGGCGAAGGCGUAGCGAAAGCGAGUGUUAAUAGCGCGUUUGCUGAAUGUUCAAGACCCGAAGCCAGACGAGCUUACCAUGGGCAGGAUGAACCGAGACGAAAGUCGAGGGGAGGUCCGAACCCGUAAGGCGUGCAAUCCUUUGGGAUGACCUGUGGUAAGGAGUGAAAAGCUAAUCGAGUUUGGUAAUAGCUGGUUCUUCCCGAAACAGCUUUGGGGCUGGCGUCUAUGGUGAAAUAUGGGGGUAGAGCACUAGAUAGAAUUCCUUGGAGUUUCUCCAGGUCUUCUAACUAAACUCCGAAUACCGUAUUUUUAAACAUAGGCAGUUAGACUACGGGGGCUAAGCUCCGUAGUCAAAAGAGUAACAGCUCAGAUCAUCGUCUAAGGUCCCUAAAUUAAACUAAGUGUUAUGAAGGAGGUAUUUUGCCCUCGACAGGCAGGAAGUUAGCUUAGAGGUAGCUAUCUUUUAAAGAGUGUGUAACAACUCACUGUCCAAACUUUCCGCUUUUGCGGAGAGAGGGGCGAAGUGCGCCAAAGAUUUCCGGGGCUAAAGUUUAAUACCGAAGACAUGGAUGCUUUUUGAUUUUUAUCAAAAGGCGUGGUAGGGAAGCAUUCCUAGCGCGUUGAAGCCUGCGUGUAAACAAAGGUGGAGUACUAGGAAGAGAGAAUGUUGGCCUGAGUAACCGCAAGUCUGGUGAAAGCCCAGACCACCGAAAGUCCAAGGUUUCCUUGGCAAUGGUAAUCAACCAAGGGUUAGGCGGUCCUAAGGCAAACCCGAGAGGGGUAGUCGAUGGAUAGUCGGUUAAUAUUCCGACCCUUGAAUACUUUUUCAAUGAGUGCGCAGUGUAGUAAUUUUAGCGGCUAAUCGGAUUUCCGUUCUUGGCUUACGGACGGGUCUGUAAUUUAGUAAUUUUUCGUAACGAAAUGAAGAAAUCUUGAGUUAGAAAUUUACAAAAAUGAGAAGGUUUAUCAGCAAGACGAUAAGCCGACGAGUUUUUGAAAAUUUAUAGCCAAAAUUUCAAGUUGCAGUAGAAAAGAUUAUUAAAUUACAGGCCUUUCUGAAAGCAGAGAAAAGUUGGUAGUAAUAUCAACAAUUAAAGUGAGCGCGCUGCCUAGAAAAGCUCAAAGAUUAUAUAGUAUUUGAACCGUACCGCAAACCGACACAGGUGGACAAGCGUAAGUGUGCUAAGGUGAACGGGUGAGACCUCGUUAAGGAACUCGGCAAAUCAGUGGCCGUAAGUUCGCAAUAUGGCCUUCCCCAGCUAGUAAUAGUUUGGGGACGCAGCUAACGUAUUUCAAGCGACUGUUUAUCAAAAACACAGCUCCCUGCUAAACUCGUAAGAGGAUGUAUAGGGGGUGAGGCCUGACCAGUGCUGGAAUGUUAAGUUUGGGAGUGCUAGCCGUAAGGUUAGUGCCCACUGAAUGAAGCACCAGUGAACGUCGGCGAUAACUAUAAACUGACGAUUGUAGUUACAAAAUUUGGCUGUAUGCUGGAAACUCCCAGUAUCUAGUACUACUAAAUUAUGGUACAAUAAAUAUAUGUACCAUAAUCAAAGUAAAAAAGUAUCUAGUGGGGACAAUCAGCAGGAAACUGUUAAAUGGCUAAAAAGUAUAACGAGCGAUAUUGGAUAUUAUAUUUCAGGUUUUGUUGACGGAGAAGGAAGUUUUAAUAUUUCUAUCCGUAAACAUCCAGGAUAUAAAUUGGGAUGGAAAACAUCUCUAGCAUUCAAUGUUUCUCAAAAAGGAGUUCAAUCACUUGAACUUCUGAAAAAUACAUUUCAAUGCGGUUAUGUUCGUAAGCGUUGGGAUAAUAUUCACUAUUUUGAAAUAGUAGAAUUUAAAAAGAUUAUCUCACGCGUAAUUCCAUUUUUUGAAAAAUUCAAGCUUCGAUCUGAAAAGAGAAAAGAUUUUCUUAUUUUCAAAGAAGUGGCAUAUUUAAUGAAAAAUGGGGAACAUUUAACUGUUAAUGGAAUUGUAAAAAUUCUUGAACUUCGUAAACCAAUGAAUUACGGAGGAAAAAAUAGACGAUUAAAGAUUCAAGAUAUUAUAGCUAGUUUAAAAGGAUCCUCAGAGACUAUACGCCAAACUCUAUAAAAUGGAGAUGAUAUAGUCCGACCUGCAUAGCGAUAUGCAGAAUGUAGUAGAAAUAUUACAUCGCGGUGUUAAAAUUGACUUAAUUUAACACUAGUAACAUAAAAGAAUCGUCCAAAGGUAGCGUAAUCCCUUGCCGGGUAAGUUCCGGCCCGCAUGAAUGGCUUAACGACUUGAAGACUGUCUCAACGAGGCGCCCGGUGAAAAUGCAAUACCGGUGAAGAUGCCGGUUACCUGCGGCUAGACGGAAAGACCCCGGAAGCUUUACUGUAGUUAGAUAUUGGAUUUUGGUUUUUGAUGCGUAGCGUAGUGGGGAGCCUUUGAAGUCACAUUCUCGGAUGUGGUGGAGGCGCCGAUGAAACACCCAUCUUUAAAAAUCAUAAUUCUAAUUCACUUUACUGUGAUAACAGUGUUUAAUGGGCAGUUUAAGUGGGGCACUUGCCUCCUAAAAAGUAAUGGAGGCGUUUAAAGGUCAGCUAGCUCCGGAUGGAAAUCGGAGCGAUAGGGCAAAGCCAUAAGCUGGCUUUACUGCAAGACGGCUAUGUCGCGCAGUUGGGAAACCAGAACUUAGUGAACCGACUAAUUUUUAUAGAAAAUUAGAAGAUCAUCAGCCAAAAGCUACUCCGGGGAUAACAGGCUAGUAGAGCCCGAGAGUCCAUAUCGACGGCUCUGUUCGGCACCUCGAUGUCGGCUCAACACAUCCUGGGGGUGAAGCAGCUCCCAAGGGUUCGGCUGUUCGCCGAUUAAAGUGUUACGUGAGCUGGGUUCAAACCGUCGUGAGACAGGUUGGUCCCUAUCUACCGCAGGCGUCGAGUUUUGAGGAGCUUUGAUCCUAGUACGAGAGGACCGGAUUGAACCAACCUCUGGUGUACCAGUUGUUCUGCCAAGAGCAUUGCUGGGUAGCUAAGUUGGGAAGGGAUAAGCGCUGAAAGCAUAUAAGCGCGAAACCCCCUCCAAGAUGAGAACUCUUAGAUUUCCCGAAGAUGACGGGAUUGAUAGGCUCCAGGUGUAAGCUCAGCAAUGAGUUCAGCCGAGGAGUACUAAUAAAUCAUUUUAUUUUUUAG
rnacentral:rRNA from 1 species